UCAUUGACAUAAAAUCCUCGUGUCAUAUAUCGCAUACAUAUAUAUGUAUGUUGUAUAUAUGUCGACCUAUAAAAGACGACAGCGGGAUCGCGGACGACAGUAUAUUUUCAAGUGCCGGUUUGUCGUUGUGUAUUUUAUAUUAAAUUAUAAGGUGAAAAUGAAACUCUGCCUGAUUGCUUUUGGAGUACUGGUGGCAUGUACCAUGUCACUAGCUCUUGAAAAUGGACCAAUAAUUGGUGCUCUGCAGCCGGCACCAAAGGAUGUGGUAUUAGUAGAAUCUGGACCAGCUAACAACAGGCAAAAGAGAUUCUUAUUAGGAGGUGGUCUACUUGGAGCUGGACUCGCUGCAGGUGCUGUGGGUCUUGGUGCUGGUGUGAUCGGCGCUAAGGCAGGAUUCGUUGGUGGAGCUUUGGCUUCCGGCGCACUUCACAGCGGAAGGAGUUACGGCGGUUACGGUUACGGCGGAGGUUACGGAUACGGCGGCGGCUAUGGUGGCGGCUAUGGAGGCUAUGGCGGCGGCUAUGGUGAUUACGGUUACGGACGAAGCCUCUAUGGUUACGGCCACAGCCCCUAUGGUUACGGAGGAUAUGGGGGUUACGGUGGAUACAGGUCUUACUAUCCGACAACCUAUGUGUCUUAUGAUCCUUGGUGCUAGAUGACUAUUGUAGACAUUUUGUGUGUGUUCAAAUUAAUGAUAUUGAUGCCCAAUAUUGACUGAAUUGUACAAGUUAAUUGUAAGUAUACAAGAUAAAUAAAACGAUUGUCUACAAUAA